rnacentral:rRNA from 1 species
CUGGGAAACUGCCUGAUGGAGGGGGAUAACUACUGGAAACGGUAGCUAAUACCGCAUAACGUCGCAAGACCAAAGUGGGGGACCUUCGGGCCUCAUGCCAUCAGAUGUGCCCAGAUGGGAUUAGCUAGUAGGUGGGGUAAUGGCUCACCUAGGCGACGAUCCCUAGCUGGUCUGAGAGGAUGACCAGCCACACUGGAACUGAGACACGGUCCAGACUCCUACGGGAGGCAGCAGUGGGGAAUAUUGCACAAUGGGCGCAAGCCUGAUGCAGCCAUGCCGCGUGUAUGAAGAAGGCCUUCGGGUUGUAAAGUACUUUCAGCGAGGAGGAAGGCAUUAAGGUUAAUAACCUUAGUGAUUGACGUUACUCGCAGAAGAAGCACCGGCUAACUCCGUGCCAGCAGCCGCGGUAAUACGGAGGGUGCAAGCGUUAAUCGGAAUUACUGGGCGUAAAGCGCACGCAGGCGGUCUGUUAAGUCAGAUGUGAAAUCCCCGGGCUCAACCUGGGAACUGCAUUUGAAACUGGCAGGCUUGAGUCUCGUAGAGGGGGGUAGAAUUCCAGGUGUAGCGGUGAAAUGC